rnacentral:piRNA from 1 species
UGUGUUGUUCUGUUACCUAGGCCCCA